UACGGAGGGUGCGAGCGUUAAUCGGAAUUACUGGGCGUAAAGUGCGCGUAGGCGGUUUGUUAAGUCAGCUGUGAAAGCCCUGGGCUCAACCUGGGAACUGCAGUUGAUACUGGCCGACUAGAGUACGAGAGAGGGAGGUAGAAUUCCAUGUGUAGCGGUGAAAUGCGUAGAUAUAUGGAGGAAUACCAGUGGCGAAGGCGUCCUCCUGGCUCGAUACUGACGCUGAGGUGCGAAAGCGUGGGGAUCAAACAGG
rnacentral:rRNA from 1 species